rnacentral:rRNA from 1 species
UGGGGAAUAUUGGACAAUGGGCGCAAGCCUGAUUCAGCCAUGCCGCGUGAGUGAUGAAGGCCCUAGGGUUGUAAAGCUCUUUCACCGGUGAAGAUAAUGACGGUAACCGGAGAAGAAGCCCCGGCUAACUUCGUGCCAGCAGCCGCGGUAAUACGAAGGGGGCUAGCGUUGUUCGGAUUUACUGGGCGUAAAGCGCACGUAGGCGGACUAUUAAGUCAGGGGUGAAAUCCCGGGGCUCAACCCCGGAACUGCCUUUGAUACUGGUAGUCUUGAGUUCGAGAGAGGUGAGUGGAAUUCCGAGUGUAGAGGUGAAAUUCGUAGAUAUUCGGAGGAACACCAGUGGCGAAGGCGGCUCACUGGCUCGAUACUGACGCUGAGGUGCGAAAGCGUGGGGAGCAAACAGG